UGAGUGCGACGCUAAAUGGGGUUAGGUAUCACUUAACUGAAUACAUAGGUUUCGUGAGGCGAACCCGGCGAACUGAAACAUCUCAGUAGCUGGAGGAAAAGACAUCAACCGAGAUUCCGUUAGUAGUGGCGAGCGAACGCGGACCAGGCCAGUGCCUGAUGGUGAAUUAGCAGAACGAUUUGGAAAGAUCGGCCAUAGCGGGUGACAGCCCCGUAUGCGAAAAUGAAACAUCAGGACUCGAGUAGGGCGGAACACGUGUAAUUCUGUCUGAACAUAGGGGGACCACCCUCUAAGCCUAAAUACUCGUAUGCGACCGAUAGUGAACUAGUACCGUGAGGGAAAGGUGAAAAGCACCCCGAUGAGGGGAGUGAAACAGUACCUGAAACGGAUUGCCUACAAGCAGUUGGAGGGUCCUUGAGGCCUGACAGCGUACCUCUUGCAUAAUGGGUCUGUGACUUAAUGUAUCAAGCAAGCUUAAGCCGUUAGGUGUAGGCGCAGCGAAAGCGAGUCUGAAUAGGGCGCCAGAGUUUGAUGUAUUAGACCCGAAACCCGGCGAUCUAUGCAUGACCAGGAUGAAGGUGCGGUAACACGCACUGGAGGUCCGAACCGAUUAACGUUGAAAAGUUACCGGAUGAGUUGUGCUUAGGGGUGAAAGGCCAAUCAAGCCGGGAAAUAGCUGGUUCUCCGCGAAAACUAUUGAGGUAGUGCCUCGGAUGGACACCUUGGGGGGUAGAGCACUGGAUGGAUGCGGGGGUCGCGAGACCUACCAACUCUAACCAAACUCCGAAUACCCAAGAGUGAUAUCCGGGAGACAGACGGCGGGUGCUAAGGUCCGUCGUCAAAAGGGAAACAGCCCUGACCUACAGCUAAGGUCCCCAAGUCGUGUCUAAGUGGGAAAGCAUGUGGAACUUCCAAAACAACCAGGAGGUUGGCUUAGAAGCAGCCAUCCUUUAAAGAAAGCGUAACAGCUCACUGGUCUAAAUAAGAGGUUCUGCGGCGAAGAUGUAACGGGGCUCAAGACACGCACCGAAGCUUAGGGUGUGCCAUUUAUAUGGUACGCGGUAGCGGAGCGUUCCGUAAGCCUGUGAAGCGAUCUGGUAAUGGGUCGUGGAGGUAUCGGAAGUGCGAAUGCAGACAUGAGUAGCGAUAAAAAGGGUGAGAUGCCCUUUCGCCGAAAGACCAAGGGUUCCUGCGCAAGGCUAAUCCGCGCAGGGUGAGUCGGCCCCUAAGACGAGCCCGAAGGGGGUAGUCGAUGGGAACACGGUUAAUAUUCCGUGACCUGGUGGUGUGUGACGGAUCUCGUGUGUUGUCUUCCCUUAUUGGAUUGGGAAGGCUUCGAAGAGGUCCCAGGAAAUAGCCCCACCGUAUAGACCGUACCCGAAACCGACACAGGUGGUCAGGUAGAGUAUACCAAGGCGCUUGAGAGAAGUGUCCUGAAGGAACUCGGCAAAUUGCCUCCGUACCUUCGGAAGAAGGAGGCCCCAACUAAGCGCAAGCUCUGUUGGGGGGCACAGGCCAGGGGGUAGCGACUGUUUAGCAAAAACACAGGGCUCUGCUAAGUCGGCUUCAAGACGACGUAUAGGGCCUGACGCCUGCCCGGUGCCUGAAGGUUAAGUGGAGGGGUGCAAGCUCUGAAAUGAAGCCCAGGUAAACGGCGGCCGUAACUAUAACGGUCCUAAGGUAGCGAAAUUCCUUGUCGGGUAAGUUCCGACCUGCACGAAUGGCGUAACGACUUCCCCACUGUCUCCAGGACAUGCUCAGCGAAAUUGAAUUCCCCGUGAAGAUGCGGGGUUCCCGCGGUUAGACGGAAAGACCCCGUGCACCUUUACUGCAGCUUCAGAGUGGCAUUAGGAAGAAACUGUGUAGCAUAGGUGGGAGGCUAUGAAGCGUUGGCGCCAGCUGACGUGGAGCCAUAGGUGAAAUACCACCCUGUU
rnacentral:rRNA from 1 species